CCUGAGGCAGUUGCAAGGUACCGACAGGCCCGAAGGGUGGCAGUCUCUGUUGUGAGGGAGGCAAAGGAGCAAGUUUAGGAGGAGUUCAGAGCAACCAUGGA